CGAGAGGGGGCGAGCGUUGUUCGGAAUUACUGGGCGUAAAGGGCGCGUAGGCGGCCUGCUAAGUCGAACGUGAAAUCCCCGGGCUCAACCCGGGAACUGCGUCCGAUACUGGUGGGCUUGAAUCCGGGAGAGGGAUGUGGAAUUCCAGGUGUAGCGGUGAAAUGCGUAGAUAUCUGGAGGAACACCGGUGGCGAAGGCGGCAUCCUGGACCGGCAUUGACGCUGAGGCGCGAAAGCUAGGGGAGCAAACGGGAUUAGAUACCCCGGUAGUCCUAGCCCUAAACGAUGAAUGCUUGGUGUGGCGGGUAUCGAUCCCUGCCGUGCCGAAGCUAACGCAUUAAGCAUUCCGCCUGGGGAGUACGGUCGCAAGGCUG
rnacentral:rRNA from 1 species